rnacentral:rRNA from 1 species
GAUGAACGCUGGCGGCGUGCCUAAUACAUGCAAGUCGAGCGAACGGACGAGAAGCUCGCUUCUCUGAUGUUAGCGGCGGACGGGUGAGUAACACGUGGAUAACCUACCUAUAAGACUGGGAUAACUUCGGGAAACCGGAGCUAAUACCGGAUAAUAUUUUGAACCGCAUGGUUCAAAAGUGAAAGACGGUCUUGCUGUCACUUAUAGAUGGAUCCGGGCUGCAUUAGCUAGUUGGUAAGGUAACGGCUUACCAAGGCAACGAUGCAUAGCCGACCUGGGAGAGGGAUCGGCACACUGGGACUUGGGCACGGUCCCAACCCCUAAGGGGGGGAGCAGUGGGGAAAUUUGCAGCAAUGGCGGAAGCCCUAUCCGGCCAUCCCGCGUGUGUGAAGAAAGUCUUUCGAUUCGUAAACCCCUUUUGUUGGGAAAGAACAUAUUAAUAUGUUACCGUGCACUUUUGACGGUAACCUAAGCAGAAGGCCCAGCUAACUACGUG